rnacentral:rRNA from 1 species
UACCAGCACCCCGAGUGGUCUGGACGAUUAUUGGGCCUAAAGCAUCCGUAGCCGGUUCUACAAGUCUUCCGUUAAAUCCACCUGCUUAACAGAUGGGCUGCGGAGGAUACUAUAGAGCUAGGAGGCGGGAGAGGCAAGCGGUACUUAGUGGGUAGGGGUAAAAUCCGUUGAUCCAUUGAAGACCACCAGUGGCGAAGGCGGCUUGCCAGAACGCACUCGACGGUGAGGGACGAAAGCUGGGGGAGCAAACCGG